rnacentral:rRNA from 1 species
GACGAACGCUGGCGGCGCGCCUAACACAUGCAAGUCGAACGGAGCUUAGAGAGCUUGCUUUUUAAGCUUAGUGGCGAACGGGUGAGUAACGCGUGAGUAACCUGCCCUAGAGUGGGGGACAACAGUUGGAAACGACUGCUAAUACCGCAUAAGCCCACGGUACCGCAUGGUACUGAGGGAAAAGGAUUUAUUCGCUUUAGGAUGGACUCGCGUCCAAUUAGCUAGUUGGUGAGGUAACGGCCCACCAAGGCGACGAUUGGUAGCCGGACUGAGAGGUUGAACGGCCACAUUGGGACUGAGACACGGCCCAGACUCCUACGGGAGGCAGCAGUGGGGGAUAUUGCACAAUGGGGGAAACCCUGAUGCAGCGACGCCGCGUGGAGGAAGAAGGUUUUCGGAUUGUAAACUCCUGUCGUUAGGGACGAUAAUGACGGUACCUAACAAGAAAGCACCGGCUAACUACGUGCCAGCAGCCGCGGUAAAACGUAGGGUGCAAGCGUUGUCCGGAAUUACUGGGUGUAAAGGGAGCGCAGGCGGGAAGACAAGUUGGAAGUGAAAACCAUGGGCUCAACCCAUGAAUUGCUUUCAAAACUGUUUUUCUUGAGUAGUGCAGAGGUAGAUGGAAUUCCCGGUGUAGCGGUGGAAUGCGUAGAUAUCGGGAGGAACACCAGUGG